rnacentral:rRNA from 1 species
AGAGUUUGAUCCUGGCUCAGGACGAACGCUGGCGGCGUGCUUAACACAUGCAAGUCGAACGAGACCCUGCCUUCGGGCAGGUGUUCUAGUGGCGAACGGGUGAGUAACACGUGGGCAACCUACCCUCUGCUCUGGGAUAACCCCGGGAAACCGGAGCUAAUACCGGAUACGACCGGGGACGACAUCGUCCCCGGUGGAAAGUCUUUCGGCUGAGGAUGGGCCCGCGGCCUAUCAGCUUGUUGGUGGGGUAACGGCCUACCAAGGCGACGACGGGUAGCCGGCCUGAGAGGGCGACCGGCCACACUGGGACUGAGACACGGCCCAGACUCCUACGGGAGGCAGCAGUGGGGAAUAUUGCGCAAUGGGCGAAAGCCUGACGCAGCGACGCCGCGUGAGGGAUGAAGGCCUUCGGGUUGUAGACCUCUUUCAGCUCCGACGAAGCGAAAGUGACGGUAGGAGCAGAAGAAGCACCGGCCAACUACGUGCCAGCAGCCGCGGUAAUACGUAGGGUGCAAGCGUUGUCCGGAAUUAUUGGGCGUAAAGAGCUCGUAGGCGGUUUGUCGCGUCGGCUGUGAAAACCCGAGGCUCAACCUCGGGCCUGCAGUCGAUACGGGCAAACUAGAGUGUGGUAGGGGAGACUGGAAUUCCUGGUGUAGCGGUGAAAUGCGCAGAUAUCAGGAGGAACACCGGCGGCGAAGGCGGGUCUCUGGGCCAUAACUGACGCUGAGGAGCGAAAGCGUGGGGAGCGAACAGGAUUAGAUACCCUAGUAGUCC